rnacentral:tRNA from 1 species
GGAUGUGGCUUAGUGGUAGAGUGUUUGCCUAGUAUGCAUGAAGCUCUGGGUUCGAUUCCCAAGUACCA